UACGUAGGUGGCAAGCGUUGUCCGGAUUUAUUGGGCGUAAAGCGAACGCAGGCGGGAGAAUAAGUCAGCUGUGAAAGCCCUCAGCUUAACUGGGGAACUGCAGCUGAAACUAUUUUUCUUGAGUGCAGAAGAGGAGAGUGGAACUCCAUGUGUAGCGGUGGAAUGCGUAGAUAUAUGGAAGAACACCAGUGGCGAAGGCGGCUCUCUGGUCUGUAACUGACGCUGAGGUUCGAAAGCAUGGGUAGCGAACAGG
rnacentral:rRNA from 1 species